CGUCACGUGUUUAAUGUCAUUAUGACGUAUAUGACGUCGUUACGUUGUUAACAACGUCAUUAUCAUUUGUCCUACUCUAGCAGAGAUAUGGGGCAUGAUGAUGCCGGUGGAAAUUGCGCCAAAGAAAAUGGAGGAGGCUUGUCAGACGAAAUGAUUGAGACAUUUUUAUUGUUGAUAGAACUUCUUUGAACAUUUAAAAUUGUUUUUUUAAACUCGAGUUAUUUGUUUCUUACUUUUAGACCUGACUUCAAAUACGCAUUGAAUGAUUUUGGAGAAAAUGAAAUACACUGUUACAUUUUU